rnacentral:rRNA from 1 species
GGGCUCGCAGGCGGUUUCUCAAGUCUGAUGUGAAAGCCCCCGGCUCAACCGGGGAGGGUCAUUGGAAACUGGGAAACUUGAGUGCAGAAGAGGAGAGUGGAAUUCCACGUGUAGCGGUGAAAUGCGUAGAGAUGUGGAGGAACACCAGUGGCGAAGGCGACUCUCUGGUCUGUAACUGACGCUGAGGAGCGAAAGCGUGGGGAGCGAACAGGAUUAGAUACCCUGGUAGUCCACGCCGUAAACGAUGACUGCUAAGUGUUAGGGGGUUUCCGCCCCUUAUUGCUGCAGCUAACGCAUUAAGCACUCCGCCUGGGGAGUACGGUCGCAAGACUGAAACUCAAAGGAAUUGACGGGGGCCCGCACAAGCGGUGGAGCAUGUGGUUUAAUUCGAAGCAACGCGAAGAACCUUACCACGUCUUGACAUCCUCUGACAACCCUAAAGAUAGGGCUUUCCCUUCGGAGACAUAGUGACAGGUGGUGCAUGGUUGUCGUCAGCUCGUGUCGUGAGAUGUUGGGUUAAGUCCCGCAACGAGCGCAACCCUUGAUCUUAGUUGCCAGCAUUCAGUUGGGCACUCUAAGGUGACUGCCGGUGACAAACCGGAGGAAGGUGGGGAUGACGUCAAAUCAUCAUGCCCCUUAUGACCUGGGCUACACACGUGC